CAGCAGCCACGGUAAUACGAAGGGGGCUAGCGUUGUUCGGAUUUACUGGGCGUAAAGCGCACGUAGGCGGAUCGAUCAGUCAGGGGUGAAAUCCCAGAGCUCAACUCUGGAACUGCCUUUGAUACUGUCGAUCUGGAGUAUGGAAGAGGUAAGUGGAAUUCCGAGUGUAGAGGUGAAAUUCGUAGAUAUUCGGAGGAACACCAGUGGCGAAGGCGGCUCACUGGUCCAUUACUGACGCUGAGGUGCGAAAGCGUGGGGAGCAAACAGGAUUAGAUACCCGCGUAGUCCCUGUCUCUUAUAC
rnacentral:rRNA from 1 species